rnacentral:rRNA from 1 species
UACGUAGGGUGCGAGCGUUGUCCGGAAUUAUUGGGCGUAAAGGGCUCGUAGGCGGUUUGUCGCGUCGGGAGUGAAAUCCACUGGCUUAACUGGUGGCUUGCUUUCGAUACGGGCAGACUGGAGGUAUGCAGGGGAGAACGGAAUUUCUGGUGUAGCGGUGAAAUGCGCAGAUAUCAGGAGGAACACCGGUGGCGAAGGCGGAUCUCUGGGCCUUACCUGACGCUGAGGAGCGAAAGCAUGGGGAGCAAACAGG